CUGGGAAGCUGGGCGCGCUGCAGUCCGGCUCCGAAGCCGGAGCACCCAGGAAGUGAAAGGGACGGGAGCGGCGGGGAGGGCCGCGGCUCGCGCGGUCUGGUGAUAUUUGUUAGAAGGGGAAGAGUUGACCACUUAACAUCGUAUGAGGAUUGGGAGAAAAAGAACAAAAGGCAUUCAAGAUGAAAAUUCCACGUGUGGGAUCCACUCUAGGGAAAAUUUGAGAAAGACUAUGUUUCGGCAAUCGGAUGUGAGCUACUUUUUAGGGUCAAUCCUUUUAGGGGAGAGUAGGGGCGGGAUUGGCCGGGAGACGCGAGGUCGAGACCCGCCGGAAGGUGACCCUGAACCAGCCCCAGCCCAAAGUCUGCUUUUUCUCACCUGGAAGACGAGAGCAGUGAGCUCCCCUCCCCGUCUCGCAGCGUACGUUGGACGAAAAGUGGCCUCUAAGCAGUUGUCCGGUUGCGGGGUGGGGACCCCUGGGGAGCUGCCCUGGGGCGCCUUCCCCUCUGUGCGCCCUCCGGAUGCCGUCUGGUCCCCUCGCAGCCCCCGCCCUGGCCCGAGGUCCGGGCAUAGUUAACUAGGGUGCCACAGAAAUCUUAACAGUCUGUGUCCUAAACCGAGCUCCGCACCUUUCCUGCACACUUCCCGCGUCUCCCAUCUUAGCCACCGCUUGACUUGGCCAUCAGCCCGCCGCCCCACCCCGCAGUCAUCAAGUCCCAGGGCCCGUUUCCUUCCGUGCUUCGGGUCGUCUGCGGUCGCUCCUGCCGUGCUCUCACUUCCUCCGUGCAGGCCCCCAGCGUCUUCUACCUGGAGAACCGUCCUUUUCUGCUCACUAGUCUUUCGGCCCCGGGCUUUGCCCCUCCCCCAUCGCGACACUGCCACCACCAGACAGACACUUUGUGGUAAGGUCAAUCCGAUCGUGCUGUUCUGGCUGAAAUCUCUUAGGGGCUCUCCUCUGCCUUCGGAACAAGUCCUGCCUCCUUAACUUCGCCCCUGCAAGGCCCUCCCAAUCCCGUCUGCCCUCUUCAUCUCCAGCUGGAUCUUUAACCCCCCCGGCCACUCCUCCCACCCUUGCCCCGAGUCCCAGCCUCCCGGAAUUGCUUCCAGUUCUCUAAGGUGAGAGUCCUCUCUAGCUUCUGCAACACGGCCCCGGUCUCCUCCUUUCUUGGGAGGUGGCUUCAUUCCCUUCCCUCACCUCCUAACCCCAAAGUGAGGGACCAAGUGCACCCCUGCCUUCUCAGGGCGCCCAGAGCCCUGCGCGGCUGUGCUGUCUGUGUGUUGCAUCCCGCGUCAGCUCUUCAGGGCGGGGGCUGCGCCCUGCUCACUAUUGUUCCCAGUUCCCAACAUGGUCCCAGGCAAUCCUGGUCGGAGCCCAGUUACCCUUUAAGACUGCACAAUGAUCAGCGGGGAGACUAAAAGUUAGGGUCGCCUUAGGGAUCUACUGAGGGAUUUAUUUUGCAUUGCUGUGUUUCUCAGCGUUGAAUUCCUCCUCUCUUAACCGCAAGUUUCACCGUAAGAGUUAACGUUUUUAAAAAACGAGACAAUAAAUUUUACUUAAACCAU